UCUACCCACAAACGAAAGCCCAAAUGCCAGUCUUUGGUGGCAAUCUGUACAUGCAGAUGUGCGGCCUCAGAAUACCUCCAAAAAAUCCACUAAAUGGGGGACUCCUACAUCCUGGAAGAUGGUGGUACCACAAACUGGGAAGAAGAGCCUCUGUCCCUGGCACCAAGUAGAGGAAAGCUGCUUGCCAUGAGGAACACUCCCAGUGGACUAUAACGUGGGCAAGAAACUUCUACAGUAUUAAGCCUCUUAGCAGUUUGGGCUUUACAUUUUAAAGCAGUUAGUGACUAUUAGAGAGCAAAUCAAUGUAUUCAUCUGGUACACUUCAUCAGACAUUAUACCUAAUAUUCAUUGCUUCUAAUACACUACUCUUGCUCAAGUCUAAAAAAUGACUCCCAACUGUCUACUGAAGGACAAAGUCCUUAGCUAACAAUCAGGAUACUUCAUGGUAUAGCCCCGAAUACCAUAAAGUUAGCCAUCGUUGUGCCUUUUCCGUGAGAUUUGUGACAUCUGUCAUACAUAGUGUAUGACAUAUGUAACUUUAAAGAGUAAUAAUAAAGAAAAUGCCUGGGAGCCAUUA